rnacentral:other from 2 species
UUUACCCUGGAGUGUUCGUUAGGGGAUUAAGUCCCUGAGCCGAUAAGCAAUACUUAAGGGUUGGUACUUGAUAGCUAUUGAGCAAGCUCGGCUUGAACCGAGAAGCCUACGGUUACCAUUGCCGAUCCGCCUUGAACCUGCUGGUUCAAGGGUCCCAAAUCUCCAACGGCACUCUGGGGUACCC